UAUUCGAUAGUCGCGUUACAGCCCUAGAUUCUUGUUGUAUUCUAAAUGACGGAAGUGUGGAACGUGCGUGCGCUCUUCGAUCAGUAACUGCAAUGCUUGUUUCAAAGGGGUCCCCGUUUUGGGAUCGUUGUCUACUACAAGUCGUGCGAACGGCACGAAUCGACUUUCCAGGGCACUGGAUACGAGUAAUGGGUUUCUGAGGCCAUACUCUUACGAUGUGACGAUUGCUCGUGCGUUGAAAGCAUUUUGGUCUAAGGUGUUUGCACAGUUUACAGCAGGAAAUGUGGUUGGUGGAAAUUAUGAGCUGUUAAGAAUUUGGUGUUCAAGUUUUUGUAAGAGAGGAUGUUGGAGUUGUGACUGGCUCAAGCACUCAUUUUGUGUCGAACAACGCUCGUCUCGAGGGUUAUGCUAACAUAUCUCAUCAGCUGAUCUAGAUCUAUUAUACCUAUAAAUCCAUCAAAUGCACGGCUACAGAGGAAGCAAAGACAAGAUUUGAUUAGGAUGGGUUACUGUCAUGGAAAGUAGAAUGUUGAUUUGGAUAGUCAGGUUACAUUUGCAACCUUUGAGUGGGAAGUCUAUAGGUAAUGGGAGUAAUUGCAGCUCUCACAGAGGUAUUUUUGCAACACCACAGUUAGGAGAAAUAUGGAUUAAUAAAGAUCAAUUAUGGCAGUAUUGGCUGCAGAAAAUAACUGCAAACUACCAAAAAGGACAACUGCAACUACUGUGAAUGGUUCUAUAGCAGACAAUCAAGACUACCAAAUCAGACUGGAUUUCUAUUCAAGCACUGCAUGUUUUUGAUUCUGCUUGUAGAUUAUUUUUACUGCUUGAGAUGGUUUAUUUUGUGUGAUAUGGAUAUGUUUAGUCUAUACUCUUCAAUUUUACAAGCGUUUGUUGAAUGUGUCAGCAGCAACUUGUUAUCAACGAUAUUCAUGAAUGUUGUAAGAAAUAUA